rnacentral:rRNA from 1 species
UAACAGGAUUAGAUACCCUGGUAGUCCACGCCGUAAACGAUGAUAACUAGCUGUCCGGGAACUUGGUUUUUGGGUGGCGCAGCUAACGCAUUAAGUUAUCCGCCUGGGGAGUACGGCCGCAAGGUUAAAACUCAAAUGAAUUGACGGGGGCCUGCACAAGCGGUGGAGCAUGUGGUUUAAUUCGAAGCAACGCGCAGAACCUUACCAGCGUUUGACAUGUCCGGACGAUUUCCAGAGAUGGAUCUCUUCCCUUCGGGGACUGGAACACAGGUGCUGCAUGGCUGUCGUCAGCUCGUGUCGCGAGAUGUUGGGUUAAGUCCCGCAACGAGCGCAACCCUCGCCUUUAGUUACCAUCAUUCAGUUGGGUACUCUAAAGGAACCGCCGGUGAUAAGCCGGAGGAAGGUGGGGAUGACGUCAAGUCCUCAUGGCCCUUACGCGCUGGGCUACACACGUGCUACAAUGGCAGGUACAGUGGGCAGCAAUCCCGCGAGGGUGAGCUAAUCUCCAAAACCUGUCUCAGUUCGGAUUGCACUCUGCAACUCGAGUGCAUGAAGGCGGAAUCGCUAGUAAUCGCGGAUCAGCAUGCCGCGGUGAAUACGUUCCCAGGCCUUGUACACACCGCCCGUCACACCAUGGGAGUUGGAUUCACCCGAAGGCGUUGCGCUAACUCGUAAGAGAGGCAGGCGACCACGGUGGGUUUAGCGACUGGGGUGAAGUC